GUGCUCACUUUGGCAGCACAUAUACUAAAAUUGGAACGAUACAGAGAAGUUUAGCAUGGCCCCUGUGCAAGGAUGACAUACAAAUUCGUGAAGUGUUCCAUAUUUUU
rnacentral:snRNA from 1 species